rnacentral:rRNA from 1 species
ACUCCUACGGGAGGCAGCAGUGGGAAUAUUGCACAAUGGGGGAAACCCUCGAUGCAGCCAUGCCGCGUGUGUGAAGAAGGCCUUCGGGUUGUAAAGCACUUUCAGCGAGGAGGAAAGGGUGUAAGUUAAUACCUUACAUCUGUGACGUUACUCGCAGAAGAAGCACCGGCUAACUCCGUGCCAGCAGCCGCGGUAAUACGGAGGGUGCGAGCGUUAAUCGGAAUUACUGGGCGUAAAGCGUGCGCAGGCGGUUUGUUAAGCGAGAUGUGAAAG